GGUGGCUCAGUGGUAGAGCACUUGCCUUGCAUGCAUGAGGUCCUGAGUUCUACUCCUCAGCACCA
rnacentral:tRNA from 1 species